CCUGACGCAGCACCGCCACGUGAGUGAGGAAGGUUUUCGGACCGUAAAGCUCUGUCGAGCGGGAAGAAAUGUAUCAUGGCUAAUAUCCAUGGUAUUUGACGGUACCGCUAAAGGAAGCACCGGCUAACUCCGUGCCAGCAGCCGCGGUAAUACGGGGGGUGCAAGCGUUGUUCGGAAUUAUUGGGCGUAAAGAGCGUGUAGGCGGCUGAAUAAGUCAGAUGUGAAAUCCCUGGGCUUAACCCAGGAAGUGCAUUUGAAACUAUUCGGCUUGAGUAGGGGAGAGGAAAGUGGAAUUCCUGGUGUAGAGGUGAAAUUCGUAGAUAUCAGGAGGAACACCGGUGGCGAAGGCGACUUUCUGGCCCUAUACUGACGUUGAGACGCGAGAGCGUGGGUAGCAAACAGGAUUAGAUACCCUGGUAGUCCACGCUGUAAACGAUGUUCACUAGGUGUUGGGGGUAUUGACCCUCUCAGUGCCGCAGCUAACGCAUUAAGUGAACCGCCUGGGGAGUACGGUCGCAAGAUUAAAACUCAAAGGAAUUGACGGGGGCCCGCACAAGCGGUGGAGCAUGUGGUUUAAUUCGAUGCAACUUCGAAGAACCUUACCUAGGCUUGACAUCCCAGGAAUUCCGUGGAAACACGGAAGUGCCUUCCGGGGAACCUGGAGACAGGUGCUGCAUGGCUGUCGUCAGCUCGUGUCGUGAGAUGUUGGGUUAAGUCCCGCAACGAGCGCAACCCUUAUCUUUAAUUGCCAGCAUUCAGUUGGGCACUUUAAAGAGACUGCCGGUGUUAAACCGGAGGAAGGUGGGGAUGACGUCAAGUCCUCAUGGCCUUUAUGCUUAGGGCUACACACGUGCUACAAUGGGUGGUACAAAGAGAAGCCAACUCGCGAGAGCGCGCAAAUCUCAAAAUAUGUCUUAUCCUCAGUCCGGAUUGGAGUCUGCAACCCGACUCCAUGAAGUUGGAAUCGCUAGUAAUCGCGGAUCAGCAUGCCGCGGUGAAUACGUCCCCGGGCCUUGUACACACCGCCCGUCACACCCGGAAAAUCGAUUUGCACCAUAAGUNUGGGGCUAACUCUAUUAUANAGGAGGCAGGCCCCAC
rnacentral:rRNA from 1 species